ensembl:miRNA
GUCAUCAACGUUACCCUAAGACAAGCACAGACUUGAGUUCUGUAAGCAGUAAGUGCUAUUUGUUGGGGUAGUGUCGCUGA